GGACAGCAAUGAGAAGAAGAAGAAAAAAAGAAAAGAAGUGUGCGUCUCAUGUUCUGUACAGAAGGAGGAAGAGGAGGAAGAUCACGUCAGCUGCUUGUUGAGCACAGCCUGAGGCGCGUCUGAUGGGUGGUGAGGCGUUCAGACUGUCGGUGAAAGCAACAUCUGGAUGGAUGGAUAGAAAAACAAACAUUGUGAGACAUUCAAGUACAUGCAACAGUGCAAUUAUUUUCAUCAUUCCCUCAGCAGCUCCAAAAGUGGGCGAUAUGAGUAAGUACUACAUAAUAAAGGCGGUACAAACGAAUUUAAACAUAGAAUAAAUAAAGGUAAACAUUUUUUUCCCAGAUUGUCCCAGAAGGCAACAGUUGUCGAUGGAGAGAAAAAUGUAAAAAACAAAUUGAUAAAGCAUUGUGAAACCUUCACGUACAUUCAAAAGUGUCAGUUAUUCCAUCAACAUCUUAACUUUGUAAAAGUGUUCAUCUGUGUUUGUGUGUUUACGUUUAUAAUUUCAGAUUGUCCCUGACAGCGAUACGGCACGAUCGCUCAACGUUCAAGUGCAUACAAGAGUGUCGGUCUUCACAGAAUCUUUGUCAAAGUUAACAGUUGCGUAAGGAUUAAGAAAGCUACGUCAAGCUUUCUGGGUUUUUUUUUACGACGUGUUUUGAUUUAAAACAGUGCCGUGAUGCGCUGAUCGUUAUUGACCACACGGCGGCGCCAAAAAGCCAUAUUGAUGGUAAUGGGCCUGAACUGCUUUGAUAGAAAUUCUUGAGUUAAUGCUGGUUUUUAAAAAUAAUACUUAUUUUAAUUGUCAUGUCAAAUUACACCAUUUCGGGUUGUAUUAUGACCACAAGAUUACUCUUAUUGUGUUAGUAAAAUGUUCUUUAGUUAUGAGUUUGAAUGAGUGUUUCUUUGGGAUGGGCCUGCUUUAAACCUGUACUUGUACUUGAAUCUUGUGCUUUUAAUACAGUAUGCACUUUUGCUUUAGACUUACACUUUAUACAUGAUUUGGGCCCUGAUCAUAAAAGAAGAAAUAGCUGA